CAGCCGCCGCGGGAAUACGAAGGGGGCUAGCGUUGUUCGGAAUUACUGGGCGUAAAGCGCACGUAGGCGGAUUGUUAAGUCGGGGGUGAAAUCCUGAGGCUCGACCUCAGAACUGCCUUCGAUACUGGCGAUCUUGAGUUCGGAAGAGGUUAGUGGAACAGCUAGUGUAGAGGUGAAAUUCGUAGAUAUUAGCUAGAACACCAGUGGCGCAGGCGGCCAACUGGUCCGACACUGACGCUGAGGUGCGAAAGCGUGGGGAGCAAACAGGAUUAGAUACCCGCGUAGUCCCUGUCUCUUAUAC
rnacentral:rRNA from 1 species